CAGAAGAUAGUUUAAAAAAUAUUAAUUUUGGAGAUUAAAGAUAAGGAGUAGUUCUUUCUUCUGA
rnacentral:tRNA from 1 species